ACCAGACUCCUACGGGAGGCAGCAGUGGGGAAUAUUGCACAAUGGGGGAAACCCUGAUGCAGCGACGCCGCGUGAGCGAAGAAGUACCUCGGUAUGUAAAGCUCUCUCAGCAGGGAAGAAGAUGACGGUACCUGACCAAGAAGCUCCGGCUAAAUACGUGCCAGCAGCCGCGGUAAUACGUAUGGAGCAAGCGUUAUCCGGAUUUACUGGGUGUAAAGGGAGCGCAGGCGGCCUUGCAAGUCUGAUGUGAAAGGCCGGGGCCCAACCCCGGGACUGCUCUUGGAACUGCGCGGCUGGAGUGCAGGAGGGGCAGGCGGAAUUCCUGGUGUAGCGGUGAAAUGCGUAGAUAUUAGGAGGAACACCAGUGGCGAAGGCGGCUUGCUGGACUGUAAAUGACGCUGAGGCUCGAAAGCGUGGGGAGCAAACAGGAUUAGAUACCCGUGUA
rnacentral:rRNA from 1 species